rnacentral:rRNA from 1 species
UGCGCAGGCGGUUUUGUAAGACAGGCGUGAAAUCCCUGAGCUUAACUUAGGAAUUGCAUUCGAUACUGGAAAGCUAGAGUAUGGGAGAGGAUGGUAGAAUUCCAGGUGUAGCGGUGAAAUGCGUAGAGAUCUGGAGGAAUACCGAUGGCGAAGGCAGCCAUCUGGCCUAAUACUGACGCUGAGGUACGAAAGCAUGGGGAGCAAACAGGAUUAGAUACCCUUGUA